GGCCUUCGGGUUGUAAACCUCUUUCAGUAGGGAAGAAGCGAAAGUGACGGUACCUGCAGAAGAAGCGCCGGCUAACUACGUGCCAGCAGCCGCGGUAAUACGUAGGGCGCAAGCGUUAUCCGGAAUUAUUGGGCGUAAAGAGCUCGUAGGCGGUUUGUCGCGUCUGCCGUGAAAGUCCGGGGCUCAACUCCGGAUCUGCGGUGGGUACGGGCAGGCUAGAGUGAUGUAGGGGAGACUGGAAUUCCUGGUGUAGCGGUGAAAUGCGCAGAUAUCAGGAGGAACACCGAUGGCGAAGGCAGGUCUCUGGGCAUUAACUGACGCUGAGGAGCGAAAGCAUGGGGAGCGAACAGGAUUAGAUACCCUGGUAGUCCAUGCCGUAAACGUUGGGCACUAGGUGUGGGGGACAUUCCACGUUUUCCGCGCCGUAGCUAACGCAUUAAGUGCCCCGCCUGGGGAGUACGGCCGCAAGGCUAAAACUCAAAGGAAUUGACGGGGGCCCGCACAAGCGGCGGAGCAUGCGGAUUAAUUCAAUGCAACGCGAAGAACCUUACCAAGGCUUGACAUGGACCGGACCGCCGCAGAGAUGUGGUUUCUCCUUUUGGGGCCGGUUCACAGAUGGUGCAUGGUUGUCGUCAGCUCGUGUCGUGAGAUGUUGGGUUAAGUCCCGCAACGAGCGCAACCCUCGUUCCAUGUUGCCAGCGCGU
rnacentral:rRNA from 1 species